rnacentral:sRNA from 1 species
CACACACGGAUUUGCGGGAUCGGAGCACAUCAUGCCGAUUCCUCCGGUGGCGGGUGAAACCGCUUCUGUCCGUGGAGGCUCAACCGGUAAAGGAACGAAAUUC